UGUCCCUGACCUGGGUAGAGUGGCCCCUGGUUUGGUGGUGCUUGUCUCCUAUCAGUCAGCGAUAAAAUAACUCCUUGUUUAUCCCAGCGGGGCUUUUGGUCUGUGCUCAUGCUGGCUCAUGCCCAGGAUACAUGG